rnacentral:rRNA from 1 species
GCCAGACUCCUACGGGAGGCAGCAGUAGGGAAUUUUCGUCAAUGGGCGCAAGCCUGAACGAGCAAUGCCGCGUGAACGAGGAAGGUCUUCGGAUCGUAAAGUUCUGUUGACGGAGAAAAAAGACCGGGAAAGGAAAUGAUCCCGGAGGAGAUAUUACCCGUCGAGGAAGUCACGGCUAACUACGUGCCAGCAGCCGCGGUAAUACGGAGGAUGCGAGCGUUAUCCGGAUUUAUUGGGUUUAAAGGGUGCGUAGGCGGAUUUUUAAGUCAGCGGUAAAAUGUCCGGGCUCAACCCGGGCCGGCCGUUGAAACUGGGGAUCUUGAGUGGGCGAGAAGUAUGCGGAAUGCGUGGUGUAGCGGUGAAAUGCAUAGAUAUCACGCAGAACUCCGACUGCGAAGGCAGCAUACCGGCGCCCGACUGACGCUGAGGCACGAAAGCGUGGGGAUCGAACAGGAUUAGAUACCCUUGUA